UACAGAGGGGGCAAGCGUUGUUCGGAAUUACUGGGCGUAAAGGGCGCGUAGGCGGCCUGUUAAGUCGAACGUGAAAUCCCCGGGCUCAACCCGGGAACUGCGUCCGAUACUGGCAGGCUUGAAUCCGGGAGAGGGAUGCGGAAUUCCAGGUGUAGCGGUGAAAUGCGUAGAUAUCUGGAGGAACACCGGUGGCGAAGGCGGCACCCUGGACCGGCAUUGACGCUGAGGCGCGAAAGCCAGGGGAGCAAACGGG
rnacentral:rRNA from 1 species